CAUGUAGGGAUGGAAGCCAUGAA
rnacentral:miRNA from 1 species